UACGGGGGGGGCAAGCGUUGUUCGGAAUUACUGGGCGUAAAGGGCGCGUAGGCGGCCUGCUAAGUCGAACGUGAAAUCCCCGGGCUUAACCUGGGAACUGCAUUUGUGACUGCAUGGCUGGAGUGCGGCAGAGGGGGAUGGAAUUCCGCGUGUAGCAGUGAAAUGCGUAGAGAUGUGGAGGAACACCGAUGGCGGAAGGCAGCCCCCUGGGCUAACACUGACGCUCAUGCACGAAAGCGUGGGGAGCAAACAGG
rnacentral:rRNA from 1 species